AUGACGUCAAGUCAUCAUGGNCCUUACGACCAGGGCNACACACGUGCUACAAUGGCAUAUACAAAGAGAAGCGACCUCGCGAGAGCAAGCGGACCUCAUAAAGUAUGUCGUAGUCCGGAUUGGAGUCUGCAACUCGACUCCAUGAAGUNGGAAUCGCUAGUAAUCGUAGAUCAGAAUGCUACGGUGAAUACGUUCCCGGGCCUUGUACACACCGCCCGUCACACCAUGGGAGUGGGUUGCAAAAGAAGUAGGUAGCUUAACUNNGGGAGGGCGCUUACCACUUUGUGAUUCAUGACUGG
rnacentral:rRNA from 1 species